rnacentral:lncRNA from 10 species
AUGAAAUUCAGUGGAGGGACCUCAAUUUGGGCACAUUACUAUUUCCACUGCUUUGUUAAUGCUAUGGGUCACAGCGAAGGCAUACAAUUCUCAGUUCAUCAGGAAGCAGUGAAAGGGCUCUUUGAUAUAACAAAGAUACGCCCAGAUUCCUUCUGGAGGCAGGUCUUCAGAAGACAAACACAAGUCACUGUGAUGAUCUCAGACCCUUUGUGUUUCAGCCACCACUGGGGUAGCUCCUGGCACAACUGUUGCACCUGGCAGUUCCAACACAGAGGCCACAACUUCUGUAGGAGAAAGAGAAACAACAAAAGCUGAAAUAAUCACAGGUGAGCCCUGUUAAGGUAUUAACUAUUCCUGAAACCUUCCCAAGAAUCUGGCCUGAAAUAUGUAAAUACUUUUUGAAUUCCCCAGAAUUGGCAUAUUAAGGAAAAUCUAACAGAUGUCCAACAUUUGACAUCAAUAAAUACAGUACAGACCUUUCAAAUUUUCCUCCUUAUGUCUUGCACCGUGGGUCUAAGGAUCCUUCAUCACAGCAUCAUGAGACCCAUUCCCUG